rnacentral:rRNA from 1 species
UGGGGAAUUUUGGACAAUGGGCGAAAGCCUGAUCCAGCAAUGCCGCGUGUGUGAAGAAGGCCUUCGGGUUGUAAAGCACUUUUGUCCGGAAAGAAAUCCUUGGCUCUAAUACAGUCGGGGGAUGACGGUACCGGAAGAAUAAGCACCGGCUAACUACGUGCCAGCAGCCGCGGUAAUACGUAGGGUGCAAGCGUUAAUCGGAAUUACUGGGCGUAAAGCGUGCGCAGGCGGUUUGCUAAGACCGAUGUGAAUCCGGCAUCCAGCCUAGGCACUGGAUGUGAUGCUGGCAGGCUAGAGUAUGGCAGAGGGGGGUAGAAUUCCACGUGUAGCAGUGAAAUGCGUAGAGAUGUGGAGGAAUACCGAUGGCGAAGGCAGCCCCCUGGGCCAAUACUGACGCUCAUGCACGAAAGCGUGGGGAGCAAACAGGAUUAGAUACCCUGGUAGUCCACGCCCUAAACGAUGUCAACUAGUUGUUGGGGAUUCAUUUCCUUAGUAACGUAGCUAACGCGUGAAGUUGACCGCCUGGGGAGUACGGUCGCAAGAUUAAAACUUCAAAUGGAAUUGACGGGGUCAUAGCUGUUUCCU